rnacentral:rRNA from 1 species
GAUGAACGCUGGCGGCGUGCCUAAUACAUGCAAGUCGAGCGAACAGAUGAGGAGCUUGCUCCUCUGACGUUAGCGGCGGACGGGUGAGUAACACGUGGAUAACCUACCUAUAAGACUGGGAUAACUUCGGGAAACCGGAGCUAAUACCGGAUAAUAUAUUGAACCGCAUGGUUCAAUAGUGAAAGACGGUUUUGCUGUCACUUAUAGAUGGAUCCGCGCCGCAUUAGCUAGUUGGUAAGGUAACGGCUUACCAAGGCAACGAUGCGUAGCCGACCGGAGAGGGUGAUCGGCCACACUGGAACUGAGACACGGUCCAGACUCCUACGGGAGGCAGCAGUAGGGAAUCUUCCGCAAAGGGCGAAAGCCUGACGGAGCAACGCCGCGUGAGUGAUGAAGGUCUUCGGAUCGUAAAACUCUGUUAUUAGGGAAGAACAAAUGUGUAAGUAACUAUGCACGUCUUGACGGUACCUAAUCAGAAAGCCACGGCUAACUACGUG